rnacentral:rRNA from 1 species
AUUGAACGCUGGCGGCAGGCCUAACACAUGCAAGUCGAACGAGUGGCGGACGGGUGACUAAUGCUUGGGAAUCUAGCUUAUGGAGGGGGAUAACUACGGGAAACUGUAGCUAAUACCGUGUACCUUAGGCUGAGCCCAAGUGGGAUUAGGUAGUUGGGGAGGUAAAGGCUGACCACGCCGACGAUCUCUAGCUGGUCUGAGAGGAUGACCAGCCACACUGGAACUGAGACACGGCCCAGACUCCUACGGGAGGCAGCAGUGGGGAAUAUUGCGCAAUGGGGGAAACCUGACGCAGCCAUGCCGGGUGAAUGAAGAAGGCCUUCGGGUUGUAAAGUUCUUUCGGUAGGGAGGCGUUAACUACAGAAGAAGCACCGGCUAACUCCGUGCCAGCAGCCGCGGUAAUAC